UGUUUCUGUCAUCAGCUGCUGUUGUUUUCCUUGGCCAACCUGUUCCAUGUCUGGUUCUUAGUACAACAGUCA